CAAUAGCAUAUAUUAAAGUUGUUGUGGUUAAAAAGCUCAUAGUUGGAUUACAGUUUUGGGACUGAUGGUAUAUACACCUAUUGGUGCUUACUGUCACGCUCCUAGACCAGCUCACUUUUGUUGGUGGGCCCCGCUGGCUCGCACGGGGUGCUCUUGAUCGAGUGUCCCGAGUGGCCGGUAUGUUUACUUUGAAAAAAUUAGAGUGUUUCAGGCA
rnacentral:rRNA from 1 species